AAAUAUUAAUUUUUAUGGAAUGAUUACAGUCCAUGAUUUAAUCGACAUGUUGAAAUCUAUCGAGAUAAGUUCAAUUUAUUUUGGAUGCAAAAGUGAUGUCACAAUUAAACUCCGAAACCUCACUUAAUUUCAGCUUAGGGCAAUUUUUUAUCUUGUGCCUAAGACACAUUGCACCAACCCCAACCACCCCAAACUCAGGUUUUUGGAGUCUAAUGGAUGGCUGAAGUGGAUUUCUCCUUCUUCCUCUCUAUUCCUUCCUUAUCCCUUCACUUCUUCUCCUCCUUCUCCCUACUGCCAGCCCCUGCGCAGGACUCAAGUUGCUGCCAGCAACCAAGCUGCCAGCAGCUAUCUACAGGCUGGCAGCAUUGAGUUAAGAGUUUUGGGAGCUAUUUGGAUAUGAUUUAAUACUCCAUUUUCAAAAUUGAUGGCUUUCACUUGUGUGGGGAGAAUUUGGGAGUCAGCCCAUACUUUCCUUGAGCUGGAAUUGAAGGUUAGUGGCUUUAAUUUUAAAGUUUGAUCAAGAUUGGUUCAAUGCUGAAAUUUCAGGCAGAUUUCGUCCACUGUUGGAAUUCGUUAAAGUUUGUUCAAAUUUUCUAUAGGAGCUGAGCUUUGAAAAAGUUGGAAGUGAUCUUGACUUCCUCCUCUACUGUGUAGAAUCUUGUUUCGAUCAAUUCGGAGGUAAAAUGAAGGAGAAAUUUAUUUUUUUGUUGAGGUCGAAGACCGAAAAACUGUUUUUCGUCGAAGCUGAAAUGUUGAUCUUUAUCUUUUAAUUAUAAUGGAAUUUCAUGGGAAAAUAUAAGUUUUUCUUGUAGUGAAAAGGCCUAAGAUCACUUGUGAACAAGUCCCAAUUCCCAAUUUUGCUGUUGGUUGGUUGGUGGAGCAAGAAUGAAGUGCAACUUAGUACUGGCAGCUUAGAAGCCAGCAGCAGCUUUGAGAUAGCAGCAGCAGCAGCCUUGGAGCAAGGACAGCAGCAACUACUUUUGGAAAUUAGUUUCGAUUUGGACCUCAUUGCUGCAAUUGGAUGCUUCUUGGGUGUUCCUGAGGUAGAGAGGAACCUGCGAAUCAAGUUGCAACUAUUGGUUUGAGCUCGAUCCAACAGGGAUUUGUUGGAUUUUCUUAUACUUGUUGGUGAUUCGGGACUGAAGGGACGUGACCGCUGAGCUUCGCUUUAAUCUGUGGUCGGAUUUGCAUACUAGACUUAGUGGAUGAGCCAUUGAGGUCGGUAGCGGUACCUGCUGAGGACUACUCCUUUUUGCAGUAGUUCUCAUACCUAGUUGUUGACCCCUUUUUGCACAGUCUUCUCCUGCGGCUGCUGCUAUCGCCGAUUCUGAUCGUAGAAAGGGAGUCGCGAACUAGAUCCCUUCCUUGAUUGCAGUACUAGAGUACCACCAUCUACAGGUAGUUUUGGGGUAUUUUGGUUCAUGUACAUACUUAUGCUAGUUUACUCGCUGGAGCGAGGGAUGUUUGUAUCCUGGAGAUUUUGUAUGUAUAGUGAACCUGAUGUUUAUUUA